UACGAAGGGGGCGAGCGUUGUUCGGAUUUACUGGGCGUAAAGGGCGCGUAGGCGGCCUUGUCAGUCAGGCGUGAAAGCCCCGGGCUCAACCUGGGAACGGCGCUUGGGACGGCGAGGCUGGAGUUCGGGAGAGGAGAGUGGAAUUCCCAGUGUAGAGGUGAAAUUCGUAGAUAUUGGGAAGAACACCGGUGGCGAAGGCGGCUCUCUGGACCGACACUGACGCUGAGAUGCGAAAGCGUGGGGAGCAAACAGG
rnacentral:rRNA from 1 species